rnacentral:lncRNA from 1 species
AUGACUAGAGAACUGAGUCUAUUUCUUGAUCGAGUCGAAACCCUUGAUGUUCAAUCUAUUCUUCUUGUCUUUACCUAUUCUUUUAUUUAGUCGUAUCGAUACUCGGUCUACACUAUCACUGGUUAGGAACCGGGUUGCGACAAAAACAACCAAAACAGUUCCGCGCCAAGCAAACUAUACUCAUUUCUUCAAAAUGUGUCACCAUAAGUUCUGUGAAACAGCACACAUAGAAGACAGUUCUGGAUAUAGUUACCAUUUCAGAAUAUGCUGUAAAUUUUUUAGUAUGC